rnacentral:rRNA from 1 species
UGCCAGCCGCCGCGGUAAUACGGAGGGUGCAAGCGUUGUUCGGAAUUAUUGGGCGUAAAGGGCACGUAGGCGGACUAUUAAGUCAGGGGUGAAAUCCCGGGGCUCAACCCCGGAAGUGCACUUGAAACAGCAAGACUUGAAUACGGUAGAGGAGAGAGGAAUUCCUGGUGUAGAGGUGAAAUUCGUAGAUAUCAGGAGGAACACCGAUGGCGAAGGCAUCUCUCUGGGCCGAUAUUGACGCUGAGGCGCGAAGGCGUGGGUAGCGAACGGGAUUAGAUA